AGGAGUGUAGCUCAGCUGGUUAGAGCAUCGGUCUCCAAAACCGAGGGUCGUGGGUUCGAAUCCCUCCACUCCUGCCA
rnacentral:tRNA from 2 species